GCGGGUAUGGUUUAGUGGUAGAAUGCGACCUUCCCAAGGUUGAGACGCGGGUUCGAUUCCCGCUACCCGCACCA
rnacentral:tRNA from 1 species